GAUGAACGCUAGCGCAGGCUUCACACCUGCAAGUCGAGGGACCGGCGGAUGGGUGCGUAACGCGUAUGCAACUUGCCUCACAGAGGAGAAUAACCCGGAGAAAUCCGGACUAAUGCUCCAUACUGUGAGAUAGGCAGGCGUCCUAUUAGGACGUUGGUGAGUGAACGGCUCAACAAGCCGACGAUAGGUAGCGGUGCUGCGAGGUAGGUCCCCUACAGUGUGACUGAGAGACGGCCCAAACUCCGACGGUAGGCAGAAGUGAGGAAUAGUGGUCAAUGGAGUAAGAACUGAGCCAGCCAAGGUGCGUGAAGGAAGAAUGGCGAAGUAUUGUAAACGUAUUUAGCGAGUGAGUAAGUAGCUCGUGAGUAAGUAGCGGCUAACUCCGUGCCAGCAGCCGCGGUAAUAC
rnacentral:rRNA from 1 species